rnacentral:rRNA from 1 species
AGAGUUUGAUCAUGGCUCAGAGCGAACGCUGGCGGCAGGCCUAAAACAUGCAAGUCGAACGGAUCCUUCGGGAUUAGUGGCGGACGGGUGAGUAACACGUGGGAACGUGCCUUUUGGUUCGGAACAACUCAGGGAAACUUGAGCUAAUACCGAAUGUGCCCUUCGGGGGAAAGAUUUAUCGCCAUUAGAGCGGCCCGCGUCUGAUUAGCUUGUUGGUGAGGUAAAAGGCUCACCAAGGCGACGAUCAGUAGCUGGUCUGAGAGGAUGAUCAGCCACACUGGGACUGAGACACGGCCCAGACUCCUACGGGAGGCUGCAGUUAGGAAUCUUGCGCAAUGGGGGAAACCCUGACGCAGCCAUGCCGCGUGAAUGAUUAAGGUCUUAGGAUUGUAAAAUUCUUUCAGCGGGGACGAUAAUGACGGUACCCGCAGAAGAAGCCCCGGCUAACUUCGUG